rnacentral:lncRNA from 1 species
AUAAUAUGGGAAUUUUUGCAUCAUGCUCUUUAUUGUUUUUAGCUUUUUUUUUUUUAUUUUUCCCCAAUUUGUGCUUGGCUGGAAAAUUAUUUGGCCUAGGGUUUGUGUACACAUGUCCAUUUUGAACCUGGCCUUGCUUUUCCAUUUGUGAAAUGAUGGUUGUUUAUCCAAUGCUCAUGAAAUUUUACUUGCUUAAACUAGACUUCAUGAUAGACAUUUUGGUGUUGAGUUUGCAUUUUUAUCCAUUGCCAUUGCUGAGAUAUGAUCAUGUGAAUGUAGGU